UCUCUGUUGGUGAACCAGCGGAGGGAUCAUUAUCGGGUUUAUAACUCCCAAACCCUAUGUGAACUUACCACUUGUUGCUUCGGCGCGCGCUUCGGCGCCGCCGAGGACACUUAAACUCUUUGUUUUUAUAUGCAUUUCUGAGUGGCCGAAAGGCAAAAUACAAAUGAAUCAAAACUUUCAACAACGGAUCUCUUGGUUCUG
rnacentral:misc_RNA from 1 species